GACGAACGCUGGCGGCGUGCUUAACACAUGCAAGUCGAACGGUGAAGGAGAGCUUGCUCUCCGGAUCAGUGGCGAACGGGUGAGUAACACGUGAGCAACCUACCCUUGACUCUGGGAUAACAGUUGGAAACAGCUGCUAAUACCGGAUAUGACCCUGGCAGGCAUCUGCCGGGGUGGAAAGCCUUGACGGUCAAGGAUGGGCUCGCGGCCUAUCAGCUUGUUGGUGAGGUAACGGCUCACCAAGGCGUCGACGGGUAGCCGGCCUGAGAGGGCGACCGGCCACACUGGGACUGAGAUACGGCCCAGACACCUACGGGAGGCUG
rnacentral:rRNA from 1 species